rnacentral:lncRNA from 1 species
CACACACACACACACACACACACACACACACACACACACACACACACACACACACACACACACACACACACACGUGGAAGGCAAUGCUUUGCUGUUCCCAGGCAGUGUCCUUUGCCACUGUUCAGGUGUUCCAACUGGGCAGAGGGCCUGGAGGAGCAUCUCCUGUCACCUGUGCAUGUGCCUGCCCCACUCCUUGGGGCCCCUGGGCCACCUGUGCUAUCUUCAUCUCUAUCUUCUUUUCUCUCUCUCCCGGGGUACUGAUUUCUGUAUUCCUCCAGUCCCAUGGAUAAUACUCUCAUACUUCCCUCCCAUACCUGGGGACUCAGUGGAGUUCCUGACCUGCCUGCUGUCUCCCUUCUUCCCCUGACUCCACUCCCCUCCAUUCCCAUUCUCAGCCAUAGGCAUGGCCUCUUAUAGGCACUUGGGAAUUCCCCCCUCCCCCCAAUCAUAUGAGCUGUGAGCCCCUGCCCCUCAGCCCUUCCCCUCCCCCUCAGUGAUGUGGAGUGUAUGUGUGUGUUCCUUCGUGUGAGUGGAUGAGUGAGUCUACGUUGUGGGAGGAGCCAGAGAGACUCAGGAGUGCCACGCACCUGCUCUAGAGAGGCAGCUGUCCCAGUCCCUGCCAUGGAAGUGGGGGACAGGGCCCUCUCCUGGGGGCCAUUGGUGCUAAUGGGGGGAUGGCCUUGGCAUGGGUGCUUAGCAUGCCUUCCCCCAAUGUUGGCCCGGGGCACUAGGGCAGGCCGGGUGGGGCAGCAGGUGCAGUAUUGAUGGGAGGGGUGGGUUGCUGGGAGAAGGUUGGGGGGGCCAGGCCAGGACAAGGGGGUGCCAGAGCCAUGACCACUACCCUGCCCUACCACUGCCUCUCCAUCUCAGUAUUCCCCCCCCCCCAUCACUUAUAACACACAUACCUCAUCCAGCCUCCUCCCUGCUCAGACUUGGGGAGGGUGGGGGAGGAGGAGCCCCUACCCCUUCCCCGGGCGGUGGGCUGGGAGAGAGCAGGGCGUGUGACAUGGACACCGUCCGUCCAUCCAUAAGGGGGAAAUUACUUCCUGCCCUAGGAACUCCUGGGUGGAGGAGGGGGACACUACCCAGAGGCGCUACUGAAUGUAUGAGAAGCUGGUGCUGAGGUGGGGGGAGGGGUUGUGGCUAGAAACAGGGAAGGAGAUAGGUCCUUUCCCCAGAGAUGGGUGGGACCGGCAGGGGUGACUUGAGGGGCUCCUCCUCCUGCCCCACAGUUGACAAUCAGUAUGUCUGUUAUGUGCGAAUUUUUCACCCCGUUGUGUUUUGGGUCAGGAUUUUAAAGAAAGAUAUUUUUAUGGUAAUUGUUGCUCGUCUAUUUUACUAUAUAUUUAUGUAAUAAAUAUAUGAUGAAAAUAA